rnacentral:rRNA from 1 species
GCUCAGCUGGGAGAGCACCUGCUUUGCAAGCAGGGGGUCGUCGGUUCGAUCCCGUCAUCCUCCACCAACCACACUUCGGGAAUUCAACACCAAAGCUGCUUUGAAAGAGGCUGCUUUGUUGUUGAUCAAUAUCGAUUGAUCAAUCGGCUGUUCUUUAAAAAUUCAUAGAGUCGAAAUCAGAGUUGCCAGGGGAAACUGCACAUUCGUAAAGGUUUAGUGCAGACCGUGCCCCUGGUGACAAAUUUUUGAUUGCGUCAAAACGAAUGUUCAAUGAGCAAACGUGAUUGCGAAAGUGAUUGCGAAGUAAUUUGAACUCAGUAAUGACGAAUGUUUCUUGAUAGUGAUAUUGAGGAAUUAUUCACAUUACGGCAUAACGCGCCAGGUGAAAGACCUGGCAAGUCCUUGAGAUGACGGCGAUAUCUUGAAAGAGAUGUCAAAGUUAUAGGGUCAAGUGACUAAGAGCAUGUGGUGGAUGCCUUGGCGAUUACAGGCGACGAAAGACGUGAUAGCCUGCGAUAAGCUUCGGGGAGCUGGCAAAUAAGCUUUGAUCCGGAGAUUUCUGAAUGGGGAAACCCACCUCGCAAGAGGUAUCGCAUACUGAAUACAUAGGUAUGCGAGGCGAACCGGGUGAACUGAAACAUCUCAGUAGCUCGAGGAAAAGACAUCAACCGAGAUUCCGAAAGUAGUGGCGAGCGAAAUCGGAAGAGCCUUCUAGUGAUAGCACGACUGUUAGCAAAACGGGAUGGAAAGCCCGGCCAUAGCAGGUGAUAGCCCUGUAUGCGAAAACAGACGUGUGGUACUAAGUUAGAGAAAAGUAGGGCGGGACACGAGAAAUCCUGUCUGAAUAUGGGGGGACCAUCCUCCAAGGCUAAAUACUCGUAAUCGACCGAUAGUGAACCAGUACCGUGAGGGAAAGGCGAAAAGAACCCCGGGAGGGGAGUGAAAUAGAUCCUGAAACCGCAUGCUUACAAAAAGUAGGAGCCCGCAAGGGUGACUGCGUACCUUUUGUAUAAUGGGUCAGCGACUUACAUUCAGUGGCAAGGUUAACCGAAUAGGGAAGCCGUAGAGAAAUCGAGUCCGAAUAGGGCGAAUCAGUCGCUGGGUGUAGACCCGAAACCAAGUGAUCUAUCCAUGGCCAGGAUGAAGGUGCCGUAACAGGUACUGGAGGUCCGAACCCACUAGUGUUGCAAAACUAGGGGAUGAGCUGUGGAUAGGGGUGAAAGGCUAAACAAACUUGGAAAUAGCUGGUUCUCUCCGAAAACUAUUUAGGUAGUGCCUCAAGUAUUACCUGCGGGGGUAGAGCACUGUUUAGGCUAGGGGGUCAUGGCGACUUACCAAACCUAUGCAAACUCCGAAUACCGCAGAGUACAGCUUGGGAGACAGAGCACCGGGUGCUAACGUCCGGACUCAAGAGGGAAACAACCCAGACCGCCAGCUAAGGUCCCUAAAAUUGGCUAAGUGGGAAACGAAGUGGGAAGGCUAAAACAGUCAGGAUGUUGGCUUAGAAGCAGCCAUCAUUUAAAGAAAGCGUAAUAGCUCACUGAUCGAGUCGUCCUGCGCGGAAGAUGUAACGGGGCUAAGCCAGUUACCGAAGCUGCGGAUUUGCAAUUUAUUGCAAGUGGUAGGAGAGCGUUCUGUAGGCCUGUGAAGGUGUCUGGUAACGGAUGCUGGAGGUAUCAGAAGUGCGAAUGCUGACAUGAGUAGCGUUAAAGGGGGUGAAAAGCCCCCUCGCCGUAAGCGCAAGGUUUUCUACGCAACGUUCAUCGGCGUAGAGUGAGUCGGCCCCUAAGGCGAGGCAGAGAUGCGUAGCUGAUGGGAAACAGGUCAAUAUUCCUGUACCGAUCAAUAGUGCGAUGUGGGGACGGAGAAGGUUAGCUCAGCCAACUGUUGGAUAUGUUGGUUCAAGCCUGUAGUCGUGCUCGGUAGGCAAAUCCGCCGGGCUUAGAUGAGGGGUGAUAACGAGUCUGCUUGCAGACGAAGUGAGUGAUACCCUGCUUCCAGGAAAAGCCACUAAGCUUCAGCUAUUGACGACCGUACCGCAAACCGACACUGGUGCGCGAGAUGAGUAUUCUAAGGCGCUUGAGAGAACUCAGGAGAAGGAACUCGGCAAAUUGAUACCGUAACUUCGGGAGAAGGUAUGCCCCAAGUAGGUGAACUCGUACAGAGGGAGCCCAACGGGGUUGCAAAAAAUCGGUGGCUGCGACUGUUUAAUAAAAACACAGCACUCUGCAAACACGAAAGUGGACGUAUAGGGUGUGACGCCUGCCCGGUGCUGGAAGAUUAAAUGAUGGGGUGCAAGCUCUUGAUUGAAGUCCCAGUAAACGGCGGCCGUAACUAUAACGGUCCUAAGGUAGCGAAAUUCCUUGUCGGGUAAGUUCCGACCUGCACGAAUGGCGUAACGAUGGCCACACUGUCUCCUCCUGAGACUCAGCGAAGUUGAAAUGUUUGUGAUGAUGCAAUCUCCCCGCGGAAAGACGGAAAGACCCCAUGAACCUUUACUGUAGCUUUGUAUUGGACUUUGAACAGAUCUGUGUAGGAUAGGUGGGAGGCUUUGAAGUGAGGACGCUAGUUCUCAUGGAGCCAACGUUGAAAUACCACCCUGGUGUGUUUGAGGUUCUAACCUAGGUCCAUUAUCUGGAUCGGGGACAGUGCAUGGUAGGCAGUUUGACUGGGGCGGUCUCCUCCCAAAGCGUAACGGAGGAGUUCGAAGGUACGCUAGUUACGGUCGGACAUCGUGACGAUAGUGCAAUGGCAUAAGCGUGCUUAACUGCGAGACUGACAAGUCGAGCAGAUGCGAAAGCAGGACAUAGUGAUCCGGUGGUUCUGUAUGGAAGGGCCAUCGCUCAACGGAUAAAAGGUACUCUGGGGAUAACAGGCUGAUACCGCCCAAGAGUUCAUAUCGACGGCGGUGUUUGGCACCUCGAUGUCGGCUCAUCUCAUCCUGGGGCUGUAGCCGGUCCCAAGGGUAUGGCUGUUCGCCAUUUAAAGAGGUACGUGAGCUGGGUUUAAAACGUCGUGAGACAGUUUGGUCCCUAUCUUCCGUGGGCGCUGCAGAUUUGAGGAAGCCUGCUCCUAGUACGAGAGGACCGGAGUGGACACACCUCUGGUGUAUCGGUUGUCACGCCAGUGGCAUUGCCGAGUAGCUAAGUGUGGAAGAGAUAACCGCUGAAAGCAUCUAAGCGGGAAACUCGUUUCAAGAUGAGAUCUGCCGGGGCCUUGAGCCCCCUAAAGAGUCGUUCAAGACCAGGACGUUGAUAGGUCAGGUGUGGAAGCGCAGUAAUGCGUUAAGCUAACUGAUACUAAUUGCUCGUGCGGCUUGACCCUA